CACAGUUCAGUGAUGUUCUAGGUGACAGCCGCAUGCUCUGCCUUGGAGAUUCCGUGCACAUCGAGUGUGAUCGACCGAGAUAACAGAGGUUGGAAAAAUCUGUGAAAGAGUUGAGCUGUUCUUCAGAUGUGGGACGUUAUUUCCACAGGUUCGACAGUCUGAAGCAUGAAUAUUACUCACUGAAACACUGCCAUAAGAAUUAGGAAAAGAAAUCGAGCCGAUUUUUUUCAGGCUAAAUUUAAAUAUGGAAUUCAGCAACCGAAGAACUCUCUUGGUCAGAUCCAGCAGUCAUGACCAGGAAGUCCAGUUCUGCUGGCAUCCGGCUGUCUUCCCUAGGCAGCUCUGAUUCCUGGUACUUUACAAGUACGCGUUUGGAGUCUGUCUCCAUAGCGCCUCCACCUGGUGUGCCUUACCUUGCCCACAUGCACUAGACCCAGUUCUACCUGCAGGUCCAGGGACAUGAUACUUAUUUUGCUGAAAGCAAAGACUGAGGUAGCUCUCUACAUCACAUCCUGCAUCUCCACAUCCUUGGCUGAUGCCAGAUAAGGAUGGUACCUACCCUUAGUGUCCCCAGUAGUUGUCACAUCCAUCCAGGACCAAUACUCAUGCUUCCACAUAGCUCAGAGCUGGUGUUUUCCUACUUCCCAAUGGCAACUGUGUGGCUGACACCUGCACAGUGGGCUCACUUGGCACCCUGGCUUGGGAUACCUUCCUGUGAAUUGGCUUUCAGAAGCUCGUGUGGAUGACAACUCUUCAGGGACAAUCAGUCCAGACUGUAUUUUCAGCCCCACCUUAUUCUAAUCUUGUCUCUUCCUGUUUGAUAAAGCCAACUGUGGCUCCUAGGGCAGAGGCUGGAGGUGCUAACUUCCUGUCUGCGGGACUCUGUGAGGACAGGCCAAUGAGCCCCAGCUGUUUCUCCUUAGACCAUCUUGGCUGCCUCCUCAGAUUCCCGACUUUGUAGUGGAGCAGAUGACUCACCAUGACGUCAGACCCCACUGAAAGGUGGACUGGAGGUCUGCUUCUAACCCCGCCCCGAAAGCAAUCACCAGAGUCAGGCAAUCAAGCAGUUGCGGGCAGCUGCGGCACCUUAGGCAACUGGGUGUGUCCUCUGCCUAAAAUCACCCACCCUGUGAGCAUUCCACACUGGGGCUUGCUCAGUGGUAUCUAAGGAUCUGGGCAUGUCACUACUCGCUCCUGUUCUGUCACUUUCCAGCUAAACUCAACUGUGGGCUUCUGCCCCUAUAAACUCUCACAACGUGGGAUCCACCCAGUGGGAAUACAAAACAAUAGUGACAUCUUCCACACAUUUAUGACAUUUUUGUUCUCAAUAUCUACAAGUCGCAGAAUAUGGCAGGCAGGAAAUUAGCGCCUUCAGCCUAGACCCUAGCAGCCACAGGUGGCUUUAUCAAACGGGCGAUGUUCUAAUGGCCACUAAGGGAAGAGAGUUUAUCCUUCUAUCUUAUAUCUCAUAGGCCUCUUUUCAUCACUUGCAUAAAUUGUGCUUAGCCCAGUAACAAGGUUAAAUUUUUUUGCUUUUUAUCAAUACAGAUGCUUUUGCCGAGAUGGGGACAGUGGCCAUGUCUGAAGCUUAGCAGAUUUAUUUUCACUUUGCUUGGAUCAAGGUCCCUCUGGAAGGCCAGGAAAGGAUUUUCACUUAGCUGCACAUAGGCUUUGUGCAAAUGUUUGUGGGAGAAGCUGCUAGCCUAGGGAAGAGUCAGCUCAUCUGGACUCCUCUCCCUCCUCUGCAUUGCCUUUUUGGGUUUCAAGAGGAGGAGAGUCAUCUGAGAAAUCUCUCAGUUGUAGGGAACCUGGGCUGCGUAAAUACAGGCCAGUUAUUAACCUCUCUGCUCUUGUCUUCUUCCCAUAAGUCCACUGUGAGGACUGAAAGCAACAGAACAUAUUUCGAACUUUGUCCAG
ensembl:lincRNA Gm37170 predicted gene, 37170